UGGGGAAUAUUGGACAAUGGGGGGAACCCUGAUCCAGCCAUGCCGCGUGUGUGAAGAAGGCCUUAUGGUUGUAAAGCACUUUAAGCGAGGAGGAGGGUACUGGUAUUAAUACUACCAGCUACUGGACGUUACUCGCAGAAUAAGCACCGGCUAACUCUGUGCCAGCAGCCGCGGUAAUACAGAGGGUGCGAGCGUUAAUCCGAUUUACUGGGCGUAAAGCGUGCGUAGGCGGCUAAUUGAGUCGGAUGUGAAAUCCCCGAGCUUAACUUGGGAAUUGCAUUCGAUACUGGUUAGCUAGAGUGUGGGAGAGGAUGGUAGAAUUCCAGGUGUAGCGGUGAAAUGCGUAGAGAUCUGGAGGAAUACCGAUGGCGAAGGCAGCCAUCUGGCCUAACACUGACGCUGAGGUACGAAAGCAUGGGGAGCAAACAGG
rnacentral:rRNA from 1 species